AGAGUUUGAUCAUGGCUCAGGAUGAACGCUAGCGGCAGGCUUAACACAUGCAAGUCGAGGGGUAUAGGUUUUCGGACCUAGAGACCGGCGCACGGGUGCGUAACGCGUAUGCAAUCUACCUUUUACAGAGGGAUAGCCCAGAGAAAUUUGGAUUAAUACCUCAUAGUAUUAUUGAAUGGCAUCAUUUAAUAAUUAAAGUCACAACGGUAAAAGAUGAGCAUGCGUCCCAUUAGCUAGUUGGUAAGGUAACGGCUUACCAAGGCAACGAUGGGUAGGGGUCCUGAGAGGGAGAUCCCCCACACUGGUACUGAGACACGGACCAGACUCCUACGGGAGGCAGCAGUGAGGAAUAUUGGUCAAUGGGCGCAAGCCUGAACCAGCCAUGCCGCGUGCAGGAUGACGGUCCUAUGGAUUGUAAACUGCUUUUGUACAGGAAGAAACAGUUCUACGUGUAGAACCUUGACGGUACUGUAAGAAUAAGGAUCGGCUAACUCCGUGCCAGCAGCCGCGGUAAUACGGAGGAUCCAAGCGUUAUCCGGAAUCAUUGGGUUUAAAGGGUCCGUAGGCGGUUUUGUAAGUCAGUGGUGAAAGCCCAUCGCUCAACGGUGGAACGGCCAUUGAUACUGCAAGACUUGAAUUAUUGGGAAGCAACUAGAAUAUGUAGUGUAGCGGUGAAAUGCUUAGAGAUUACAUGGAAUACCAAUUGCGAAGGCAGGUUGCUACCAAUAUAUUGACGCUGAUGGACGAAAGCGUGGGGAGCGAACAGGAUUAGAUACCCUAGUAGUCC
rnacentral:rRNA from 1 species